GCACAGUUGGUACAGUGGAGUGAACCCAGGAGGAGCUCUGAACAUCAGAAAUAGACAGCAUCAAACAACACUAACAAGAUUUAGAACAGGUAAACCGUUUGGUUUUCGACCACUAGGACCCGGGUUCGAUUCCCGCAUUGGGCA